CGUUGACGCCUGUUCCAAUUAGGAUUAACAAAACCCUGUGCUACCUUUUUCUUUGUGGCAGCAAAGACAUCGAUAGUAGGAGAUGGCGGGGAAGUUUGACAUGAUUUUCGACAUGUUUUUGAUCUGCCAAUUCUCUUUUUCAAAACGGUUCGAAAAUGGCGAAUCCAGAAUGCGGAUCUCGAUCUACCGCUUCUUCUCUUCUCGACUGACUCCACAUGACGGCUCGGGUGCAUGCAUCUGCCAAGGUUGUUUCUUCUCUGGCUAUUCCUCAUCUGCAAAUGAAUUAAGCAAAAUCUAUCCUACUGGCGAAUCCAUGAUACACUACAGUACGCUUCUUCUACACUGUCAUGAUAUCGUUGAUGAUUGUGACGAUAAGUUGGAGAUUCUGGUCUAAAAGGUUCACGGCCUGCCACUUGCGAGGAAUAUAAGCGAAAUCCCACAGGAUAACUAUGAAAGACAAGGCCUAUCCAAUAUAACCGUUGCAGAAUACAGAGCAUAAAUUCGAGAGGGACAAUGCUUGGGAUCUCAGAGGAAACUUCGUGGCACGCCAAUGACAAGCACUCCACAUAUGUCGUUGGUGGGAUCCCCUUCAACUUAACCAAAGGAGGCGUCCUCUCUUUUUUUUAGCUCAGUAAGUGUCACAAAGCAUCAUUAUGUUGGUAUCUCGAGUUACAGUGUUCUUCCCUUUUGAGGAUUCUUUUAACUUAUCGAUCAUUUGUGAAGCUCAGUCUGUGUUAAGACUUUUGAAAGACUCCUACUGUUGUUUUCGGCUCAUAGAAGUUCUGUGCCUUUUAUUUUUGGGUUCUGUAAAUUCCUUUAUAUUAUGGUUUUAAAAGUACAUUAAGCAAAUUCAGUAUGCUUUUUUUUUUUUUGGUAAGUAACAAAUUCAGUAGUCACUAACAGUUAUGAACUACAAUUACCAAAUGUUUGUUUAGCUUAGUGAUCAUGAAGAACUAAACUAAGAUACGGAAAUCUGAUUGAGAAUUAUGCAGGUCUUUUUCACAAAAAGCAAACCUAAUUGCAAUGCCUGUCCCAUGAGUGGAGAAUGCAAAAUUGCAAACUUUUGCAAGGUUUUUUUUGUCAAAACAUUUUUAAACUAAGAUUUGACUUAAUGACACUUAAAGUUGCAAAGUUAUGCUCAAAAUUUGAUUAGCCAACUUACUGACAAUAUUUUAAAUGCAGUGCAAGGCUUUCGCUGCAAGGACCUGACGAUAGAAGUAUUGUGGGUGCAAAUUCGAAAUUAAACGUAAUAAACUGUUUAUAUGUAAAUGUUGUGGUUAUAUAUUUAUUGAUUGUUGUGAUUUAGUGAAUUUUGAGUUCUCAGGUUUAUAAUUUGCUCAAUAUUUUUCCCCUUUUCUGCAGCCUUAAACCACCAUUGACCAUCUAAAUCUGUGGUCAAUGUUAUUCCCAGAAUCUGCGUUCAAUUUUUUGCGUUUUAGAUUCAUCCCCUCUUCUCAUGGACCAUAUGGAAACGGAAUGCUUUCCUAUGUGACUAAGUCUUUUUUUUGAGUGCUUCUUAACCGAUCUAAACUUUGAACUUCUUUUGGUUUGGCAAAGAUAUGGUCUUUGACAAUAUAGGCUCUUCAUUCCAAACCCCUGUUCAACAUCCAUGCACUCUAAGAUCUCAAAGGUAAAUGGGUUCCUUCAAUUUUGACUUGAAUUUUGUUCCUUAUUGUUGAAAUUUAUUAUGUCAAAAUUGUAUAGUUGUAUACGAUUUGGCAUGUGGGUAUGCUGCAAAAAUAAAUUUUACUGUUUGACAGCACUGAAAUUGAAUUUCAUUGUGUUAUUUCUUAACAGAAAUUUUAUUGAUCUAGGUGAGAUUCAUGGUGAUGGCGCAAUUAUAUUUGUGAGCAAUAGGGAUUUUGUUUAGGGACUGAAAAUUGAGUUGGCAAUGAAGAAUAGUGGAUGAUUUGUAUCUGAUUUUGUUAUAGAUCACCUUCCAUUUGUUACAUUCUUUGUGCUUUUGUACAUUUAGAUUGGGAUUUCUCUUCUCUUUUGUACUGGUGGAUUUAUUUCUACAGGGGGCCUGAGUAGUGCCAUGGGGUGAGGAACAUCGUUUUGUUUGAACAUGAUUGGUGGGACACAAAUAUUUUGGAAACAACCAUUUUCCAACCACAACAUUGACAUAAAGAGAAGAGCUCAAUGAUGUGGUCACUCAGUUACCUAUCUUAAAAUAGGGGAAGAAGUAGGUAAGGAGUUUGAUUAAUAUUGAUAAUUUUUUAAGGUUAUUAACCUCUUUUAUAAGCUGAUUGUUACUUAUGGUCUUCCAAUAAAGGUAUGUCCUAAUGGAGCUUAAUCUUUGUAUUUGAAUGGUUUCAUAUGGUGUAGUGAAGCAAUGGAUCUUAACCAUAAGAGAUGAUCAUCUAAGUGACGUGAUGCGGUGAUUUUGAUAUCCGACAUGGUACUUGAGUAUAUUUUUAUUUUAUUUCACUCUGUUUGAAUUUGAUAUGCCUGCAAUUUUUUCGUCGAUAAAAUAUCCAAAAUAUGAUUUGUGAUGUUCCUCCAUAAUCUGUGAGGCCAGGAAAGAGGUUGAUUUAUAGCAUCCCUCUUUACAUCCCUACCCUGUUCUGCAUCUUUUUUUCAUUCACAACAGCAGUAACUGAUUCAUGUAGCGUAACCUUUUUGUUUAAAUACAGUGGUGUCCGGCCAUUGGAGAUUGUUUCCUGAAAUGAUGAUAUUGUGCUACAUAUCGAAACUUUUCAUUUACUUUAAUUUUUCAACGGCGUUUCUUUUGUUUAAGUUCACAUUUGUUACAUUCUAUGUGCUUGUGUACAUUAUCUUAAAUCGGUUGGUUGUUUUCCUUCUCUUUUCUACAGGUGGAUUUAUCUUUCUACAUGGAGCCUGUGUAAGCCGAGCAAUAAAUAAAUGCAAGAAAAAAAUGACAUGAAAUUUCUGUCACUGCUACUGGCUGAUCCCUCUCACCAGCUAAGUGCUAGUCUAUUCACCAAUUUUCACACAGCUUCUUUGCAGACAUUCAUUGUCAUUGAACGAAUGGGGGUGACGUUGGCAACAACAACCACCCUUGAUCCUGUUUAGGGGCACGUUCUAGGUGAUUCAACUUCUUUUGAGUCACCCUUUGAUAUUUGUCCUUUUCUUUUGUUGGGGUUUAAUGUGGGGCUUGCAUACCGUAUAAAUGUUUUCAAGAAUUAUGCAAGCAUACCGCAAGAAGGCAUUAAUGAUUAGAACUCUGUGACUUGAGAACUGAGAAGGCUGUCUUCAAGAUGGGUCCUGCUAUUUAAACGCCCUUUUUGCUAUUUAGACCCCCAUUGAUUAGAUAAUUCUUGGUAUUUGAGCCGUGUU